rnacentral:rRNA from 1 species
GGCCUGGAACGGUGUCUUUCCAAAAACCGGCUCGCCGUGAGAUACGGGCCCUAGGAUGGCGCUGCGGCCGAUUAUGCUAGAUGGCGGUGUAAAGGACCACCAUGGCGACGAUCGGUAUGGGCAAUGGAAGUUGGAGCCCAGAGUCGGCUACUGAGACAAGGAGCCGAGCUUUACUAAGCUUAGCGGUCGCGAAAUCUCGCCAAUGCACGAAUGUGUGAGUG